rnacentral:rRNA from 1 species
UGGGGAAUUUUGCACAAUGGGGGAAACCCUGAUGCAGCGACGCCGCGUGAUUUAGAAGGCCUUCGGGUUGUAAAAAUCUUUUCUAUGGGAAGAAAAUGACAGUACCAUAGGAAUAAGGACCGGCUAAUUACGUGCCAGCAGCCGCGGUAAUACGUAAGGUCCGAGUGUUGUCCGGAAUCAUUGGGCGUAAAGGGUACGUAGGCGGGUAAGCAAGUUAGAAGUGAAAUCCUAUAGCUCAACUAUAGUAAGCUUUUAAAACUGCUCAUCUUGAGGUAUGGAAGGGAAAGUGGAAUUCCUAGUGUAGCGGUGAAAUGCGCAGAUAUUAGGAGGAAUACCGGUGGCGAAGGCGACUUUCUGGCCAGAUCCUGACGCUGAGGUACGAAAGCGUGGGUAGCAAACAGG